GAGAGGAAACCAUACAUCAUCGAAGCUGAAAGGGUAAACCAUUCUUAUGGGGAAAGCUUUGCUUGAAGAAGUUGACAAUUUGCAAGAGAUAGUGAUCAAUGCAUAAAGUUGGAUCUACAAGUAAGAAAAAAUGAAGUGGAAAGGAAGGAGAAAGAGGUAGAGAAAAGACUCGGCGAUAUCGUGAAGAUGGAGAUUAAGCUCUGUAAGAGAGCGGCUGAGAUUGAGAAGUGAGAGAUGGUGCAAUCCAUUAGAGAUGAUGCAUUUUUGAUGGAGUUGGUGCUUCUUGAGCAAGAAGCUGGAAUAAGAUGCUCACACACGCUAAUUCGAGUGUAUUGGGCUUUCGUAGUUGGUGUUUUUUUUUUACUUAGUGACUUCAUAGUAGUGUAGUUGGUGUAUGUAUAAGUGUUAGAAGUUUAGUUAGAAUGUAAUGUAAAUGCAAUUUAAAUAUUGGAUUUGAUGUUUGUUAAGCUUUGUAGAAUGCAAUUAUAUUAGCA